CUACGGGUCGCUGCAGCCGAGAAUAUUCGUCAAUGGGCGCAAGCCUGAACGAGCGACGCCGCGUGCAGGAAGAAGGUUUUCGGAUUGUAAACUGCUUUUCUAUGGGAAGAAUUCUGACGGUACCAUAGGAAUAAGGAGCUGCAAACUACGUGCCAGCAGCCGCGGUAAUAUGUAGGCUCCAAGCAUUAUCCGGAUUUAUUGGGUGUAAAGGGUGUGUAGGGGGUUAUGUGCGUCUCUUGUAAAAUCUUACUGCUUAACAGUAGGUCCGCAGGGGAUACGGCAUAACUAGAGUGUGCGAGAGGUCUGUGGAACGCAUAGUGUAGGGGUAAAAUCCGUUGAUAUUAUGCGGAACACCGAAGGCGAAGGCAGCAGACUGGCGCAUUACUGACCCUGAGGCACGAAAGCGUGGGGAGCAAAAAGGAUUAGAUACCCCGGUAGUC
rnacentral:rRNA from 1 species